rnacentral:rRNA from 2 species
AGUUGUGAUUAUACCAACACUAAUGCACCAGAUGCCAUCAGAACUCGACAGAUAAGCGUGCUUGGGUGAGAGUAGUACUGCGAUAAGUGACCUCCUAGGAAGUCCAAGUAUUGCACAUC